AUUUUUUUUAUUUUAACAUCUUAAUAAAAUUAUUAAAACUGUUCUUAGUUUAAUAUCUGAUAUGUCCUUUAUUUGAGGACUGUAUAUUAAAUUGAUUUUUGGAACAGGUGGAGUGAAUAGGAGCUUGCUCUGUCCACUCCAUGCAUCGCCCUGGUAUUGCACUGCCUCCAGGAAUGGAGGGGAAAAA